UACAGCCCUCAUUCUUGCUAUUCCAGUGCAGAGCUCACCAUUUUGAGGUAGUGGGGAAGCCAGAGCAGACUGUCACAUCACAGAGCCACGCCCCCUCCUUGUAUCAGGAGCGCACUCCGCUCAUUCUCCCACCUUGCCUCCCAGCAAAGGGGAGAGGAAGACUUAUCAGAUGCCAAGGCCCAGGUUCCAGCCACCCUGUCUCCCUGCCCUCACGGUUUCCUCGGAUCCAGUGGAUUCCACAAGGCAAUCAAAUAUGCAGCGGAUUCCACUACUCAUUUCUGACACACACCUGGGGUCCUGUGAUAAAGUCAGUUUGCGCACACACAGCGAGGAUUAAAAUUUCAUAGAGCCGUGAUUUCAUCAGUCACUAACUACAAAGGAUUAAUUAGGAUCGAGGGACGAGCUCAUGGCUCAGGAGUCUGGACCUCAGGAAAACAUCUAUCUCCGCUCCCCAGAUGUCAGCACACCCAUGAAUAAAG
rnacentral:lncRNA from 1 species